rnacentral:rRNA from 1 species
ACCCGCACAAGCGGUGGAUGAUGUGGUUUAAUUCGAUGCAACGCGAAAACCUUACCCACCUUUGACAUGUACGGAAUCCUUUAGAGAUAGAGGAGUGCUCGAAAGAGAGCCGUAACACAGGUGCUGCAUGGCUGUCGUCAGCUCGUGUCGUGAGAUGUUGGGUUAAGUCCCGCAACGAGCGCAACCCUUGUCAUUAGUUGCUACAUUCAGCUGGGCACUCUAAUGAGACUGCCGGUGACAAACCGGAGGAAGGUGGGGAUGACGUCAAGUCCUCAUGGCCCUUAUAGGUGGGGCUACACACGUCAUACAAUGGAUGGUACAAAGGGUCGCCAACCCGCGAGGGGGAGCCAAUCCCAUAAAGCCAUUCGUAGUCCGGAUCGCAGUCUGCAACUCGACUGCGUGAAGUCGGAAUCGCUAGUAAUCGUGGAUCAGAAUGUCACGGUGAAUACGUUCCCGGGUCUU